GAUGAAGAACGUAGCGAAAUGCGAUACGUAGUGUGAAUUGCAGAAUUCAGUGAAUCAUCGAAUCUUUGAACGCACAUUGCACCUCUCGGUAUUCCGGGAGGUAUGCCUGUUCGAGCGUCAUUUGUACCCUCAAGCUCUGCUUGGUGUUGGGUGUUUGUUCCGCCUCUGUGUGUGAACUCGCCUCAAAACAAUUGGCAGCCGGCGUACUUGUUUCGGAGCGCAGCACAUUUUGCGACCAGAUCAACGUACAGCGGCAUCCAAGAAGCCUUAUUUAACGCUCUUGACCUCGGAUCAGGUAGGGAUACCCGCUGAACUUAAGCAUAUCAAUAAGCGGAGGA
rnacentral:misc_RNA from 1 species